rnacentral:rRNA from 1 species
GACGAACGCUGGCGGCGUGCUUAACACAUGCAAGUCGAACGGAAAGGCCUUUUCGGAGGUACUCGAGUGGCGAACGGGUGAGUAACACGUGGGUGAUCUGCCCUGCACUCUGGGAUAAGCCUGGGAAACUGGGUCUAAUACCGGAUAGGACCGCACUUUAGUGUGUGUGGUGGAAAGUUUUUUCGGUGUAGGAUGAGCCCGCGGCCUAUCAGCUUGUUGUGGGGUAAUGGCCUACCAAGGCGGCGACGGGUAGCCGGACUGAGAGGUUGGUCGGCCACAUUGGGACUGAGAUACGGCCCAGACUCCUACGGGAGGCAGCAGUGGGGAAUAUUGCACAAUGGGCGCAAGCCUGAUGCAGCGACGCCGCGUGGGGGAUGACGGCCUUCGGGUUGUAAACUCCUUUCGCCAGGGACGAAGCGUUUUGUGACGGUACCUGGAGAAGAAGCACCGGCUAACUACGUG